UGCUCCUCCCUGUGCAAGCUCCAUGUAUCUAACGACCUGCAAUGCAUGCAGCAGAGAGUCAACAACUAGUUGAGCGAGUUCACAGAAAUAAUACGUAUGUUCAUUUAGUGGGGGCUUCCCACGUAUGUAUGUACUAAUAUUGGGGGUUUCCCAUGAUUAUAUUUAUUACUAAAGGGGGCUUCCCAUGUUUAUCCUUACUAGACUAUUGUAACCAUGUGUUCUUCUUAAUCCGAGAACAGGAAUACGUACAAGGUCACGUAGGUUUUACGUGAGUGCCCUUCCCCGAGGACAGUGGUACGCGUGGGGUUUACGUAGGUUUUACGUAAGUGUCCUUCCGACCCGGAAGACAGUAGUAGGCAUGAGUUUACGUAGGUUUUACGUAAGUGUCCUCCCGACCCGGGAGACAGUGGUUGAUACUAGUUUACGUAGGUUUUACGUAAGUGUCCUGACUAACCUGAGGACGAUGGUAUAUAGUCUAGCAAUGGUGUAAGUACGAGUAAUUAUCCAAUUC
rnacentral:lncRNA from 1 species